ensembl:lncRNA
AUAUAUAUAUAUAUAUAUAUAUAUAUAUAUAUAUAUACAUAUACGGGCUGAGUCACGACUCAGCGAACGGCCGGUGCUCCAGAUGAGGUCUGUUGCCAAGGAGCCGUCGUCGAGGGUGACGGGAGGGUGGGGGACAACAAAAAGCAAAGCCACCUGCCCUCCUCUCUUCCUCCUCUUCAUCCUACCCUCCUCAUUCCCCCCCUCCUUUACCUUCUCUUUGCUACCUCCUCCUUUGCCCUACCGUUCCUCCUCCCCCUCCAGACUGUAGAUCCUAUGUCCUCCUCCUCCUCCUCCUCCUCCUCUUCCUCGCUCCGCUCCCCGGACACCAAAGAAAGGCGGGAGGUGCCAAAACAAAACGGUGCUCAUUCAAUUUUUUUUAUUUUUUUCAUUUUUUUGCAGCGUGUGUUUUGUUGUUGUUGUGCUCCUCCGGUGUGCUGCUGAGCCACAAACCUCAUCACCUCGUGGGGGUCAUCGCGGGGUCUCUAGGGGGCCCUCAUAGUGUAGGGCAUGAUGUCAUCUACUCUGCCAUUGGCUCCAAUCCCGGUGGGCCUCGAGGUAAACAUUACAUCGUCACAGCAGCGGUCUCUCCCUCAGCCAGCUCUGCCUCUGGCUGUGUCUAGGUCCUGGAGGUGGUCUUCAUGGGCCCGGGGGGGGUCUAGGUCCUGGAGGUGGUCUUCACGGGACCGGGGUCUGGCUGUCUCUUCCUCCUGAGCCAGUGGACGUUAGACCGGUCCGUUCCACCGUGUGGAGCCCCAUGUUGCCCGGGUGUCACUCCCUCUCUCGUCCCCUUCCUCCUUUAGUUCCCUUCGUCUGGUUGGUACAUGGGAGACCUCGUGUGCUUGUUUGAUCUGGUCUGUAUCCUACUCUCUCAACAUCACCGGUUGAAAGUUUCUUCCGAGACCCCGUCUCUCUCUCUCCGCCCUCCCUGGUGCCCAACCGUGGACCCCUCUCCUCCUCUUCUCACCUCCUCUCUCCUCCUCCUCUGUCAGCGCUGUCGUGUCCCUCGCGCUCAACACCUCUUCAUUAACGAGAAUACUAAAUAUUUUGUUUUUGCACACUAAAUCAUUCUGGCAGCUGGCUAAUAAAGUUGUCGGGAGGAUAUCAGUUUUAUAAGCCGAAGGCUGAUCUCCUUCUCCUUCAUUCAUGCGCUCUCCAUCGUCUCCACCUCACCAGCACACUGAGUACCGGAGCUCCACCUACAGAGCGUCUGCAGCAGGUACCUACAGAGCCUGCUGCUGACGGCGCCGUCACAAAAAAACUCAUGAACUCUUCCUUGUGGUCGCGACCCCGUGAUGUCACCCGGUUCAGCGACCAAUCAGGUUCCUCGUUGCCCUCAGAGGUCAACCCUAGAUCUCUGACCUCUGACCUCUGAGUUGCCCACGAGCAUGACUCUGACCCUGCGACGGUGCGAGCGGUAGAAGAGAGAGAGAGAGAGAGAGAGAGAGAGAGAGAGAGAGA